UUUAUUUAUAAACAUUUUAAUUAGCUAGAAAUGCGUUUUGUCUGUUUCUGUCUAAACCGUCACGUGACACAGACGCGAUCUUUUUAUUUUUUUUACAGACGCGAUUCCUUCUAUGACCUAAUAUGGAAUCCAUGACGACAUAGAACGCCAGCUCUCGGGCUAUAUAAAGCGCAGUGUCACACAGUGUUGAGUUAUUCUGUGGUGAGCUUAGGAAGAGAACGGUCAUCUGAUGAGGACAGUGCAGGACAGGUAGGGGAGGAAACAUCUAUUAAGCAUUAGAAAAAAAAACACUUGUGUAAACGCUAACUGCGAAUUCGUUCAUAAUUAUGAUAAUUAAUUCAUGUGUUUUAUUAGAGAUACAGAUAUGUUAUGCGUCGUGUAAAUUGACCCGAAAAGUUUUGGAAACGAAUCGCUUAACAAAGCGUUAUUUACAAUGGAAAUACUGAAAUACCUUUAAACGUCCAAAAUUAUUUUUAAAAAUCAAUCAUCAAACAAACGUCGCAUAGAUAAUUAUUUUCAAAACGAGCCCACAUUGUAUAAGACUGUGCCCUCAAGGCAAUUUUCACCACAGGGACCCGUUUAAUCCUACAGAAAAAUCCAGCUAAGACCAGCAUAAACUGGUAGCUGGUUUAAGCUGGUUUUAGCUAGUUUAAGGUGGCAGUAGCUGGUCCUAGCCUGGCAAAGCUUGCAAAACCAGCUUAAACCAAAUUUUUCAGUAGAGAAGAGAAGUAGCUUUCGCUGUAAAGGUGUAAAGGAAUGGCCCUACUUUUGAAACACCUACGAGUUGUCAAUACCAAAUGCCUGUUGCAGUAGAUGUCGUCUGAAAGUCUUAAGUGUCACAUGGGCAUGCAGUAUUGGCAUUCAUUCACUUAUACAGUAUACUGAAGAAUGAUAUUGAGCUUAUUUGGUUUGUGCUUUAAUUUAAAGGUCCAUUUGACAAUUCAAAACUUCAGGAGCGGGAGGCUGAUCAGAAGGGCACCUCUCAAAACAUGCAGCUGGACAACAAGAGGUAUUGUAUCAAUUACAGCUUUCUUUAUUUCUUACCAAAUCUUCAGUAAAUGUUAAAAUGUGCUGGUGUAAACUAAUUUAUUCUGUGGUGAGGGUAAGAAUGGUAAACCUUAAAACACUCUGAUGAGAUACACUGCAAGACAGGUAAAAGCGAAACAUGUUUACCUUAUGCAGCAUUAAGAUAAUAUGAUAAUUAAUUGACAUGUUUUUUUAAAUUAGAAUUAUGCUCCGUUGUGUAAACUAAAAUCAGACGUAAAGCCAAACAUUUUUAGAAAAGAAACGCUACCAAAUAUGAUUAGAAUUACUAAAGUAUAUACAGUCAGUAUGUGUGUGUAUAUGUAUGUAUAUGUAUAUAUAUGUAUCAGUUCAGUUCAGUUUAUAUAUUAAAUAAAACAUUUACUUUAAUCGUCUCAAAACUUUAGGUUGCCCGAAGGUCCUUGUUAUUAGAUUUGCUUGUUUCCUUACUCUGGGUGCAGUGCUCUGUGCAUAACUAUCAGCUUCAUACCCACAAUGCGGUGUGCACUCUGUACCGGGUGGGUCAAGGUUUGGGACUGGCAUAAAGACAGGAAUGGCCCUACUUUUAAAACACCUAAGCCUCUAAUGUAAAGACCUUGUUUAUUAAGAUUAUUAUCCAUCGUGUAAAUACGUUAAAACGGAUAUAAAGGCUAACAAGUUUUUUUUAAUUAAACACUUAACUAAUACGAUUAGAAGUAGGGUACUGCCCUGUAAUGUGGGUUGUUGGCUCACAGGGCAGGGCCCUAUAGUUAUUUAUAUUGAAAUUUCAAAAUGUUUCAUAACCGGACAAUCCCGACGAGAGGUGUCUAGAGCAUACGCGCAAGGGUCUUCCAGGGUCUCAUACCUUACCGGCAGAGCCCAACGAGAAGUCUUGGACUUCCAGGGUGUCUGUUCCUAACAGCUGAGUCCAAAGAUAGGACUCAGAAACAAAUGCACAGUUAAGACAAGGCCGCCUGUUGUCCUGGAAGUUUUAGACUUCCAACCCUACUGGCCAAUCCCGACGAGGUGUCCAGAGCAUACGCGCAAGCGGGACAGGGCCACUUGCCGUCUUGCAAGUCUCGGACUUUUAGGGUCUCCGACCCUACCGUCAAAGCUUGACAAUAAGUCUUGGGUGGGACAGGGCUGCCUGCCAUCCUGGAAGUUUUUGAUUUCUGGGGUCUCUGACCACCACCAGAGCCUGACGAGAGGUGUCCAGAGCAUACGCACAAGUGGGACAGGGCCACUUGCCGUCCUGCAAGUCUUGUUCUUCUAGGGUCUCUGACCCUAUUGGCAGAGCCAGAUGAGAAAUGUCCAGAGCAUAUGCGCAAGCGGGACAGGGCCGCCUGCCGUUCUGGAAGUCUUGGACUUCCAGGGUGUCUGUUCCUAACAGCCGAGUCCGAAGAUAGGACUCAGAAACGGAUGCACAGGUGGGACAGGGUCGCCUGUUGUCCUGGAAGUUUUAGACUUCCAACCCUACUGGCCAAUCCCAACGAGGUGUCCAGAGCAUAUGCGCAAGUGGGACACGGCCACUUGCUGUCUUGCAAGUCUCUGACUUUUAGGGUCUCCGACCCUACCGUCAAAGCUUGACAAUAAGUCUUGGGUGGGACAGGGCUGCCUGCCAUCCUGGAAGUUUUUGAUUUCUGGGGUCUCUGACCACCACCAGAGCCUGACGAGAGGUGUCCAGAGCAUACGCGCAAGUGGGACAGGGCCACUUGCCGUCCUGCAAGUCUUGUUCUUCUAGGGUCUCUGACCCUAUUGGCAGAGCCAGAUGAGAAAUGUCCAGAGCAUAUGCGCAAGCGGGACAGGGCCGCCUGCCGUUCUGGAAGUCUUGGACUUCCAGGGUGUCUUACCCUACCAGCCAAGCUCGGCGAGAGGUGUUAAGAGCACACGCAAGUGGGACAGGGCCGCCUGCCAUCCUGGAAGUCUUGGACUUCCAGGGUGUCUGACCCUAACAGCCGAGCCCAAAGAUAGGACUCAGAAACUGAUGCACAGGCGGGACAGGGCCACCUGUUGUCCUGGAAGUUUUGGACUUCCAGGGUCUCUGACCUUACCGGCAGAGCCCGACGAGAAGUUUUGGACUUCCAGGGUGUCUGUUCCUAACAGCCGAGCCCAAAGAUAGGACUCAGAAACGGAUGCACAGGUGGGACAAACCCGCCUGUUGUCCUGGAAGUUUUAGACUUCCAACCCUACUGGCCAAUCCCGACGAGGUGUCCAGAGCAUACGCGCAAGCGGGACAGGGGCACUUGCCAUCUUGCAAGUCUCUGACUUUUAGGGUCUCCGACCCUACCAUCAAAGCUUGACAAUAAGUCUUGGGUGGGACAGGGCUGCCUGGCAUCCUGGAAAUUUUUUAUUUCUGGGGUCUCUGACCACCACCAGAGCCUGACGAGAGGUGUCCAGAGCAUACGCGCAAGUGGGACAGGGCCACUUGCUGUCCUGCAAGUCUUGUUCUUCUAGGGUCUCUGACCCUAUUGGCAGAGCCAGAUGAGAAAUGUCCAGAGCAUAUGCGCAAGCGGGACAGGGCCGCCUGCCGUUCUGGAAGUCUUGGACUUCCAGGGUGUCUUACCCUACCGGCCAAGCUCGGCGAGAGGUGUCAAGAGCACACGCAAGCGGGACAGGGCCGCCUGCCAUCCUGGAAGUCUUGGACUUCCAGGGUGUCUGACCCUAACAGCCGAGCCCAAAGAUAGGACUCAGAAACUGAUGCACAGGUGGGACAUGGCCACCUGUUGUCUUGGAAGUUUUGGACUUCCAGGGUCUCCGACCCUACCGGCAGAGCCCGACGAGAAGUCUUGGACUUCCAGGGUGUCUGUUCCUAACAGCCGAGCCCAAAGAUAGGACUCAGAAACGGAUGCACAGGUGGGACAGGGCCACCUGUUGUGCUGGAGGUUUUAGACUUCCAACCCUACUGGCCAAUCCCGACGAGGUGUCCAGAGCAUACGCGCAAGCGGGACAAGGCCACUUGCCGUCCUGCAAGUCUUGGACUUCUAGAAGUCUUGGACUUCUAGAAGUCUUGGACUUCCAGGGUGUCCUACCCUAUCGCCCGAGCCCAAAGAAAGGACUCAGGAGCAUAUGCGUAGUUGGGACAGGGCCACAUCCCAUUCUGGAAGUUUUGGACUUCCAGGGUGUCCAACCCUUCCGGCUUAGCCCGAAGCAAGGACUCCGAAGAGGACAUGCAGGCGGGACAGGGCCGCCUGACUUCCUGGAUGUCUUGGACCUCCGGAAGGCAGAGCCCAAGGAGAGGGCUCACCCCUAUACAAGGUCAUUGUCUGCAUUGGCCAUUAUAAUUGGCGUUGUGAAAAAGCUUUCGAGAAAUCGUAAGAGGGAGAGGCUCACAUAGCGUCAGCUUCAGAUGCAAUGUCGAGAGACUGUUCUCGAAAGGGAACAACGUACUGCUAGGCAAACUGAACUAGCCUAAACAUACUAGCCUAAACUGAACUAUAAACGUAACAGUAAACUAAACUUUAAAUAACUAGACUUAAUAGACUUUAUACAGGAAACAUAUAAACGAAUCAGCACAGGACAGCAAACACAAGCUUUUUAAGGGGGCAACAGGGUGGGGCAUAUAACAAUAGCAAGAUAAUUAACCCAAUUAACACAAAAGCAAACAAUGACAUGUGCUUCCACACAAAACAAGUAACGUUGUCACGAUCCUGACAAAAGACUAGAAAAGCAUGAAUGAUAGAGGCAGGAUCGUGACAUAUGGUGAAAUUGUCAUAUUUUUGUCUUUAACUUCUUCUGUGAGUUCAAUUUGUUUUACAGAUAGUAAAAACAGUUGAUGGAAUGUUGUUAGAUGACCAACUCAUCAUCAAUGAUGAGGCACCUGAGGAGUGGCAGGCUGUGCAGAAGGGCACAUCUCUAAACAUGCAGCUGGACUAUA